GCCGCGUGCGGGAUGACGGCCUUCGUGGUUGUAAACCGCUUUCAGCAGGGACGAAAAUGACGGUACCUGCAGAAGAAGUCCCGGCUAACUACGUGCCAGCAGCCGCGGUAAUACGUAGGGGACAAGCGUUGUCCGGAUUCAUUGGGCGUAAAGAGCUCGUAGGCGGUUCAGUAAGUUGGGUGUGAAAGCUCCGGGCUCAACCCGGAGAGGCCACUCAAUACUGCUGUGACUAGAGUCCAGUAGAGGAGCGUGGAACUCCUGGUGUAGCGGUGAAAUGCGCAGAUAUCAGGAAGAACACCUGCAGCGAAGGCGGCGCUCUGGGCUGGAACUGACGCUGAGGAGCGAAAGCAUGGGUAGCAAACAGGAUUAGAUACCCUGGUAGUCCAUGCCGUAAACGUUGGGCACUAGGUGUGGGGAGGAAUCAACCCUCUCCGUGCCGUAGCUAACGCAUUAAGUG
rnacentral:rRNA from 1 species